CAAGGACAGAAGUCCCUGGAUCCCUUCUUGGCUGAAGCGGGUAUAUCCAGACAGCUCCUGAAGCACAACUUGGAUGAAGAUGAAAUGGAUGAUCCUGGAGAUUCAGAUGGGGUCAACCUCAUUUCUAUGGUUGGGGAGAUCCAAGACCAGGGUGAGGCUGAAGUCAAAGGCACUGUGUCCCCAAAAAAAGCAGUUGCCACCCUGAAGGUGACUGGGUACUGGGAAGAGGAAAGUCUCCUUUGGAUUCUGGACAUCGGGCUGUUGCUGAAGUCCUUGCCUUUUAGAUCUACAACAGGUCCCUGGAGGAAGAAUUUAACCACUUUGAAGACUGGCUGAAUGUGUUUCCUCUGUCCCGAGGGCAAGGGGGCCAGGAUGGAGGUGGAGAAGAGGAAGGAUCUGGACACCUUGUGGGCAAGUUCAAGGGCUCCUUCCUCAUUUACCCUGAAUCAGAGGCAGUGUCGUUCUCUGAGCCCCAGAUCUCCCGGGGGAUCCCACAGAACCGGCCCAUCAAGCUCCUGGUCAGAGUGUAU
rnacentral:sRNA from 1 species